rnacentral:rRNA from 1 species
CCUACGGGAGGCAGCAGUGGGGAAUAUUGGACAAUGGGCGGAAGCCUGAUCCAGCAACGCCGCGUGAGGGAUGACGGCCUUCGGGUUGUAAACCUCUUUCAGUAUCGACGAAGCGCCCGUGUGGGUGGUGACGGUAGGUACAGAAGAAGCACCGGCCAACUACGUGCCAGCAGCCGCGGUAAUACGUAGGGUGCGAGCGUUGUCCGGAAUUAUUGGGCGUAAAGGGCUCGUAGGCGGUUUGUCGCGUCGGGAGUGAAAACACUGGGCUUAACCGAGUGCUUGCUUCCGAUACGGGCAGACUUGAGGCAUUGAGGGGAGAACGGAAUUCCUGGUGUAGCGGUGAAAUGCGCAGAUAUCAGGAGGAACACCGGUGGCGAAGGCGGUUCUCUGGCAAUGUUCUGACGCUGAGGAGCGAAAGUGUGGGGAGCGAACAGGAUUAGAUACCCUGGUAGUCCACACCGUAAACGUUGGGCGCUAGGUGUGGGGCCUAUUCCAUGGGUUCCGUGCCGCAGCUAACGCAUUAAGCGCCCCGCCUGGGGAGUACGGCCGCAAGGCAAAACUUAAAGGAAUUGACGG